rnacentral:rRNA from 1 species
AGGUGUUGAGACUGGUAGGUAAAUCCGCCAGUUGAGCUGAGGUGGGAGCGAGCUGCAAUAAGCGAAGUGGCUGAGCCUUGUUGCCCAGAAAAGUCUCUAAGCAUAACUCUUUAGUGCUCGUACCGCAAACCGACACUGGUAGAUGGGUAGAGUAUACCAAGGCGAUCGGGAGAACCUUCGUUAAGGAAUUAGGCAACAUGACCCCGUAACUUCGGGAGAAGGGGUACCCUCCUUAGUGUUAAAGCUUCGGAGGGUCGCAGUGAAAUGGCUCUGGUGACUGGUUAACAAAACCACAGGUCUCUGCUAAGCCGUAAGGCGAUGUAUAGGGGCUGACGCCUGCCCAGUGCCGGAAGGUUAAAGGGAGAGGUUAGCGCAAGCGAAGCUUUGAACUGAAGCCCCGGUGAACGGCGGCCGUAACUAUAACGGUCCUAAGGUAGCGAAAUUCCUUGUCGGGUAAGUUCCGACCCGCACGAAAGGUGUAACAACUAGAACAGUGUCUCGACGAAGGACCCGGUGAAAUUGAAAUGGCUGUGAAGAUGCGGCCUACCCGCAGCAGGACAAAAAGACCCCGUGGAGCUUUACUGCAACUUGGCAUUGUAUUUGGACAUAAUCUGUGUAGCAUAGGUGGGAGGCUUUGAAGCUGGCGCGUCAGCGUCGGUGGAGCCACUAGUGAAAUACCACCCUGAUUAUGUUUAGAUCCUAACCCCAUUCCGUCAUCCGGAUGGGGGACCGUGCCAGGUGGGCAGUUUGACUGGGGCGGUCGCCUCCCAAAAGGUAACGGAGGCGCCCAAAGGUUCCCUCAGGUGGAAUGGAAACCCACCAUAGAGUGUAAAGGCAUAAGGGAGCUUGACUGUAAGGCCAACGCGCCGAACAGAGACGAAAGUCGGGCUUAGUGAUCCCACGGUACCGAGUGGAAGGGCCGUGGCUUACCGGAUAAAAGCUACCCCGGGGAUAACAGGCUGGUGAGAUCCAAGAGUUCACAUCGACGAUCUCGCUCGGCACCUCGAUGUCGGCUCAUCGCAUCCUGGGGCUGGACAAGGUCCCAAGGGUCGGGCUGUUCGCCCGUUAAAGCGGUACGCGAGCUGGGUUCAGACCGUCGUGAGACAGGUCGGUCUCUAUCCGCUGUGGGCGUAAGGGAUUUGAAGGGAGCUGCUCCUAGUACGAGAGGACCGGAGUGGACAGACCUCUAGUGUGCCAGUUGUUCCGCCAGGAGCAUCGCUGGGUAGCCAUGUCUGGCAGAGAUAACCGCUGAAAGCAUCUAAGUGGGAAACUCGCCCUAAGAUUAGAUCCCUGUAUUCCCGUAAGGGAGUAAGACCCCAGGUAGACUACCUGGUAUAUAGGCAGGGUGUGUAAGCACAGUAAUGUGUUCAGCUAACCUGUACUAAUGGUCGAGGGCUUCAUCCU